UACAGAGGUCCCGAGCGUUGUCCGGAAUCAUUGGGCGUAAAGCGCGCGUAGGCGGCCAGAUAAGUCCGGUGUGAAAGUCACAGGCUCAACCUGUGAAUGCCGCUGGAAACUGUCUGGCUAGAGUCCGGAAGGGGCGAGUGGAAUUCCCGGUGUAGCGGUGAAAUGCGCAGAUAUCAGGAGGAACACCAAUGGCGAAGGCAGCUCGCUGGGACGGUACUGACGCUGAGGCGCGAAAGCGUGGGGAGCAAACAGG
rnacentral:rRNA from 1 species